GGAUAGCUCAGUCGGUAGAUCAUGAGACUCUGAAUCUCAGGGUUGUGGGUUCAAGCCCCACGUUGGGCA